GCCCGUCUAUCCACUAGGCCACACUUUCUUGCUGCAGGGCCUGGUGUAGUCUGUAGCGGGGAAAGCAAUGAAGGCAGGUUAUUUGGCGAGGGGAGACUAGAAGCGGUGAUGAGAGCCUUAGGAUGGUGGACGUGGUAUAAUAAUUAUGGCAUUGAGCGCUUACUCUGUGCUAAACGCUGUGUGGAGAGGAAGGGGUGGAGAUGAGACACUCUGGGACACUGCAUGUGGGAACCGAGAGGAUUUAAAGAUGAACGGAAGAUCACGAGCAGGGGGUGUAACGAUUCCCCCGUGAUGGAAGAUGGGGGAAAAGAGAGGAUGAGCCGUGGAGGCCAAAAGAUCUUUUACUCCUUUGUUACUCUGAGUUUGCCCCCUUCGUGAUUUAUCUGUGAAUGAGAUGUCCGUGUCAUCACCAUAGGGGAAAUUCAAAUGUCGUGGAUCUUGCGGUCAUUAGAAACCCAUCGAGGACAGACAUUUUUAGAAGUAUUUUUUGAAGCAGUUGAUUUUUACGACUAUUCUACCUUUGCACCGUUAUCCUCUAAGAAGGCCGACUUUUUCAAAUGAAUGGUUUUCAUUUUCUGGAUCCUGUAACUUUGGGGGCAUGGCUGGGUGGCCUGUGGAUCACUAUUUAGAUCAAUUUCCUGAUUUUCUGUAACCCCGCUUCCUUACUAGAGCAGUCCAGUCAGAAAUAAGCCUAAAUUGGCCCUCCCGCCCAGAGCGGAAACUCCUCGAUUCUGGCUAUGCUUUUUUUUCAAAGGAGAAAAGCAGCACGACCCAGAAUGGACCCCUUCAGCCAAGUCCUGACCCUGACUCCUCCUUUGAUUGAGAGAUUGACGGUACCCGUUAAGAGCUUACGAUGUGCCAAGGACCCUUCUAAGCGCCGAGCCGCCGACCCGCCCCACCUCCAGAACGCACGGGGAACCUCUGCCGACAGCUUCGCUUCGACCCCGCAGCGGAACGGGCCUCUGAGGCACAGGCAAGCUCAGGGGAUUUUCAAAGCUCUUUCCUCCAACCUCAGCAAAAGCCCAGAAAGAGAAAACUACCUCUCAGGUGGCUCGCUUUCUAUUGUGCGUCGAACUUCGUUCUCCGGCAUAUGGACGGAAAAAUCCAUGAAUGUGCGUAGAACACUUUCUAGGGCCUAGAGCUGACAGCUUUUGAUCUCAUCCCAUCAUUGCUAUUCUUAUACGUGAACCGAAAUAUGGGACACUCAAUUCUAACUUUG